AGUGAACGCUGGCGGUAGGCCUAACACAUGCAAGUCGAACGGCAGCACAGUAAGAGCUUGCUCUUACGGGUGGCGAGUGGCGGACGGGUGAGGAAUACAUCGGAAUCUACUUUUUCGUGGGGGAUAACGUAGGGAAACUUACGCUAAUACCGCAUACGACCUACGGGUGAAAGCAGGGGAUCUUCGGACCUUGCGCGAUUGAAUGAGCCGAUGUCGGAUUAGCUAGUUGGCGGGGUAAAGGCCCACCAAGGCGACGAUCCGUAGCUGGUCUGAGAGGAUGAUCAGCCACACUGGAACUGAGACACGGUCCAGACUCCUACGGGAGGCAGCAGUGGGGAAUAUUGGACAAUGGGCGCAAGCCUGAUCCAGCCAUACUGCGUGGGUGAAGAAGGCCUUCGGGUUGUAAAGCCCUUUUGUUGGGAAAGAAAAGCAGCAGGUUAAUACCCCGCCGUUCUGACGGUACCCAAAGAAUAAGCACCGGCUAACUUCGUG
rnacentral:rRNA from 1 species